AUACUUACCUGGCAGGGGAGACACUAUGGUGAGGAAGGUAGUUUUCUCAGGUGAGGCUCAUCCAUUGUACUUAGGGUAUGCUCACCCCUGUGAUUUUCCCAAAUCUAGGAUAUUCAACUGCAUGAUUUAUGGUAUGGGGGACUGUGUUCACAUUAUCCCCUG